GACAGAGGGUGCAAACGUUGUUCGGAAUUACUGGGCGUAAAGCGCGUGUAGGCGGCCCUGCAAGUCGGGUGUGAAAUCCCAUGGCUCAACCAUGGAAGUGCACUCGAAACUGCAGGGCUAGAGUCCUGGAGAGGAAGGUGGAAUGCUUGGUGUAGAGGUGAAAUUCGUAGAUAUCGAGAGGAACAUCGGUGGCGAAGGCGGCCUUCUGGACGGUGACUGACGCUGAGAUGCGAAAGCGUGGGGAGCAAACAGG
rnacentral:rRNA from 1 species